CAAGCAUGGAUGAAGUCAUUUGCAUUUUCUUGCAUGUUGGAGUAGUUUGAUCGUGUAUAAUGAUAGGCAUGAGCAAGGAGCAUUGUGCAACAAAGUUUGAUUUCCCUACAAUUUGCGAACUGUAGUCAUUAAUAUAAUAUCAAGUUGUGAGAAUUUUCUUAAGUUUCAGAAUUUCUUUUGUAUUCUUGAGGGUUGCUAAUAAAUGUUGAAUUGCUUCUUAAUUAUUAUUGUGUUGGCAUUUAGAAUAGCUUUGGACCAUUUCCGCCACAAGAGGUUUCCUUGAGGAUAUCGCUAAAUCAAUGUUGAAGAAUGAGAUUGGGAUGGGAUAAUUUUAUUGUAUAUUAGAAUACUUUGUAUAACCACUGUGCUUCUACAUUUUAUAUUACCAUUCAUUGGAAAGAGACCCCAUUUUGUAUCAA